UAAUACGUAGGGUCCGAGCGUUGUCCGGAGUUACUGGGCGUAAAGCGCGCGCAGGCGGCGGUGUUGGCCCGGCGUGAAAGCCCCCGGCUCAACCGGGGAGGGUCGUCGGGGACCGCACCGCUUGAGGGCGGUAGGGGCUGGUGGAAUGCCUGGUGUAGUGGUGAAAUGCGUAGAGAUCAGGCGGAACACCCGUGGCGAAGGCGGCCAGCUGGGCCGUCCCUGACGCUGAGGCGCGAAGGCGUGGGGAGCGAACGGG
rnacentral:rRNA from 1 species